rnacentral:rRNA from 1 species
GAUGAACGCUGGCGGCGGGCUUAACACAUGCAAGUUGAACGAAGUGGCGGAUGGGCGACUAACACGUGAGGAACCUGCCUUUCACAGGGGAAUAACACUGGGAAACCAGUGCUAAUACCGCAUAGUGACAGAUGGCCUCGCGCAUGAUUAGCUAGUAGGUGAGGUAACGGCUCACCUAGGUGGUGAUCUGUAGCCGGACGGACGGUUGAUCGGCCGGAUUGGGACUGGGACACGGCCCAGAGUCAUACGGGAGGCAGGAGUGGGGAAUAUGAGGCAAUGGCGCGAGCGUGAACCAGCAACGCCGCGUGAAGGAAGACGGUAUUCGGAUUGUAAACUUCUUUAGACAGAGACGCGGUACCUGCAGAAUAAGCCACGGCUAACUACGUGCCAGCCGCCGCGGUAAUAC